UGAGUACUUCAAGCUUUUUCCACAUCAUCUGUCGCAGGUUGCCUCCCCGUUCAGUAAGGGCUUGUAGCAAGGCGGUGGGAUACCCCACAGCCCCGCUGAGG